GGGUGAGUAACGCGUAUCCAACCUGCCCACCACUUGGGGAUAACUUUGCGAAAGUAAGACUAAUACCCAAUGACGUCUCUAGAAGGCAUCUGAAAGAGAUUAAAGAUUUAUCGGUGAUGGAUGGGGAUGCGUCUGAUUAGCUUGUUGGCGGGGUAACGGCCCACCAAGGCAACGAUCAGUAGGGGUUCUGAGAGGAAGGUCCCCCACAUUGGAACUGAGACACGGUCCAAACUCCUACGGGAGGCAGCAGUGAGGAAUAUUGGUCAAUGGACGAGAGUCUGAACCAGCCAAGUAGCGUGCAGGAAGACGGCCCUAUGGGUUGUAAACUGCUUUUAUAAGGGAAUAAAGUGAGUCUCGUGAGACUUUUUGCAUGUACCUUAUGAAUAAGGACCGGCUAAUUCCGUGCCAGCAGCCGCGGUAAUACGGAAGGUCCGGGCGUUAUCCGGAUUUAUUGGGUUUAAAGGGAGCGUAGGCCGGAGAUUAAGCGUGUUGUGAAAUGUAGACGCUCAACGUCUGCACUGCAGCGCGAACUGGUUUCCUUGAGUACGCACAAAGUGGGCGGAAUUCGUGGUGUAGCGGUGAAAUGCUUAGAUAUCACGAAGAACUCCGAUUGCGAAGGCAGCUCACUGGAGCGCAACUGACGCUGAAGCUCGAAAGUGCGGGUAUCGAACAGGAUUAGAUACCCUGGUAGUCCGCACGGUAAACGAUGGAUGCCCGCUGUUGGUCUGAAUAGGUCAGCGGCCAAG
rnacentral:rRNA from 1 species